GUCGUUAAAGUUAUAACUAGAAUUCGGGAUUUGUUAUCAUCGUAACCAGAACAAUGUCGUCUGUUCGGAUGUUGGUUGUCCUCAUGGUUGUGUGCAUCCUCGCAGGGAGUUUAGUGCAGCAGACAGAAGCCCAGUGUCGUUGCGCAUGGUUCCGCUGUCGCAGGGGGAGCGAGUGUUACGUAGGAAAAUGUGGAUGGAUUAAAAAAAGGUGCUGCUCAAACGAUAGCGAUGAGUGUAGACAAGGGUAA